rnacentral:rRNA from 1 species
GACGAACGCUGGCGGCGUGCUUAACACAUGCAAGUCGAGCGGAGCGGCGCACGGGUGAGUAACGCGUGAGUAACUGCCCCCCUCUCUGGGAUAACAGUUGGAAACGGCUGCUAAUACCGGAUAGUGGGGGAUGACUCGCGUCCUAUCAGCUUGUUGGUGGGGUAGUGGCCGACCAAGGCGACGACGGGUAGCCGGCCUGAGUGGGCGACCGGCCACAUUGGGCUGAGAGACGGCCCAGACUCCGACUGGAGGCAGCGGGGGGGAAUAUUGCACAAUGGGGGAGAGCCUGAGGCAGCAACGCCGCGUGCGGGAUGACGGCCUUCGGGUUGAAAACCGCUUUCAGCCAUGACGCGGUAGUGGCAGAAGAAGCACCGGCUAACUACGUGCCAGCAGCCGCGGUAAUUC